CAGUGUUGGUCAGGCUGGUCUCAAACUCCUGACCUCAGGUGAUCCGCCCGCCUCGACCUCCCAAAGUGCUGGGAUUACAGGCGUGAGCCACCGCGCCCGGUCCGGCUUCACUUCUUUAAGCACUCACCCUGUGCUAGACAACUGACAUUCCGCGUUGUGUUUAUUGUUUAUUGCCUGUCCCCUCUAUGUCAGCUUCCUGAGGCAGUGACUUUGCUCAUCGUUGUCCCUGCGGUAUCGCCGGUGCCCAACUCAGUAUCUAGCACACGGUGGAGAGAACAGCAUGUGUGAAGGCCCAGAGCCGGCCCCCGGAUCUUUUCAGAAUGUAUCUUGGUCAGGGGAGGAUGGUCGGCCAGGACACAUGCAUGGCCCCCUGGAGUCGUGCAGCGCUGGCCUUGGUGAGUCUUCAGGCACAGAUUGAGGCGUAAAGGAGGUGCUCCUGCCGAAAUUUAAUUAUGCCCAGGCAUGGUACCCCAGCAUUUUGGGAGGCCAAGGUGAGAGGAUUGCUUGAGGCCAGGAGUUCGAGACCAGCCUGGGCAACAUAGUGAGAUGCGAUCUCUACAAAAAUUUUAAAAAUUACCCAGGUGUGGUGGCAUACACUUGUAGUCCCAGCUACUCUGGAGGCUAAGGUGGGAGGAUCACUUGAGCACAAGAAGUGGAGGCUGCAGUGAACUGAAGGGGCCACUGCACUCCAGCCUGGGUGACAGAACAAGACCCUGUCUAAAAAACAAACAAAGAAGUAAAUGCCCUAGUCUCAGGUAUUCUGUUAGAGCAACACCAAACACACUAAGACACGGAGGAAGGGGCUGGGUGGGCUCCCACAGUCCUGUCCAGCCACUGGGCCCGUGCAGCACAGCACUUCCCGGGUGCAUCAGCAUUGAGCCUUUCCUGAGUGCUGCUGCCAUCUGUCCUCCAGUUAUGAAGGGAACAAGAGACCCAGAAGGGGUGGGGCUGGCCCAUGGUCUCCCUUGCUCACAGCCCUGGGCUGGAGCCCUUGUACAGAGCUGCCUCCUGGUCAGCCAGGAAAGUCUCACUGGAGGAGGAGGGGUAGGUCAGGCCUCUUCCUGGCCUCAGAACAGGAUAUGGGUGGGGGAUGUUGGUGUCUCCUACACUGGGGCCUGCCCACCUUCUUCCCCCAAUGUUCCUCCAUCCUGCUCUGAGCGUUGUGCAGAGGACCCUGGACUGUGGGGUUCAUCCUUUCCUAGGGAGCUUCCAAGGGCCCACACAGCCUGCUCCCCGCACCCCAUGGAGGCGCAAUGAUAGCAGAAUUACUGGCACUGUUAACCUGCUGGAGUUGGAACCUUGGAGUCCUGGAAGGUGGGACUUGCUCAAGGACUCACUGCUGGCCUUGGGGAGCAGAGAACUCAGGUCUUUGUGAUUCCGAAGUCCAGGUUCUUCCACCUGCAACUGCAGUUUCCAGAAUUGGUCCCACCCCAGGAGGAUCAGCCAGAUGCAACGCCAGGAGCAGCAUCAGCCACGCUGUAAACAACGGGGAAACGCCAAGCGCAUUACAGAGGAGGUCAGCCCUGCCAUCACUGGGCUGGGGAAACAAUGCCAGCCAUGGCUGGUCUCCAGGUUCACAGUGAUAGGGGAAAUAAACCCUUAUUUGUCUAAGCCA